AGAAAAUACUCAUGUAGCAACAGGGUGGUUUGGUUUUCCUGACAUUUAAUUCUUACAUGGCAGGCAUCAGUGCUUUAAUGGGAGAGAAUUUUGGAAUGAAAGCAAACUCAUUAGUAGAAACCAAUUACAAAUCUGUGUUUCCUGCCCUUGACAAAAUUCCCUGUUUCUCUGUGUUGUUGUUUUGUUGUUGUUGUUGGUUUUGGUUGGUCGGUUGGUUUGUUUUGUUUUUCCCUUUAACUGUCAAGUCACGUCAAAGCUGAUUAUAAGAGAUGGGCCUUGCAGAAGACAACAUUACACGGGUGGGCUUUGGAUGCUAAGCUUCACCACUGUUCUGAAGAUCACAAAACUCAAUUUCAGCAUCUUUGUUCAUUCCCCAAGCCAGGGAAAACCCUAAAGUAAAAUCCCAGUGGUAAAUUUUUUUUAGCCUUGAGUCUAAGUUCAUGGAUUCUGAGAUGGAAGUAAAAAUUCUUAUAUCACAGUCAAAUGAAAUCAUGAUCAUGAAGCAGUUUCUACUGUAUUGGAAAGCCAAGUGGCCAAAUAUGGUUAUUUCCAUAUAUGGCAAAAUCAUUCCAUAUUCUUUUGCAUCACAAACACUCCAUGACCCUUAUAUGUCAUAACUGCUGACCUCUCAGGAUAGGCCAGAUAUAUGUCAGCUCACCAUCUGAUACAGAGCAACAUCAGAGAAACAGGCAGCUCUGCCUGGAGGCUGCCACCCCCUUACAGACACCUUGAAAGCAGCAAUGGUGAGAUCCAGGCGAUAUUGGGAGCAACGCAGCAGGGGAUGCUCCCAGCGGAGGCCGAGAGUCAGAGGCAGGAGACGAAAAAGGAGGCAAGGGAGAAUGAGGAGAAGGGCAGGAGGGAGCAAGAAAUACCAUUACAGGAGGUUGAGCACCACUGCCCUGGAGCAGUAGGGACCUGCAGGUGUGGAUUUCCUGCCGGGAGGGUCUGUGUCACACCCCACCAAGGUCACAGGGAGAUCUCUGUCACCUCACAAACCUUUGACAUCACUGGUGGAGCCUCUGAAGAUUCUUCACUAAUACACAGUGGGCACAAGUGAGCAGUGUGGUAAAGCCAAAAGAAGACUGUAAGCUUGAAAAAAAAAAAAAAAAAAAAAGCAUGUGAAAAAGGAGGAUCUUCAUUUCUCUGGGGAAAAAAAAUUACAACACUUCCACAGUUCAAAAUAAAAGAGUUGGGGACAGAGUGUUUUAAUCUUUC
rnacentral:lncRNA from 1 species